rnacentral:rRNA from 1 species
AUUGAACGCUGGCGGCAGGCUUAACACAUGCAAGUCGAGCGGGGAAGGUUGCUUCGGUAACUGACCUAGCGGCGGACGGGUGAGUAAUGCUUAGGAAUCUGCCUAUUAGUGGGGGACAACAUCUCGAAAGGGAUGCUAAUACCGCAUACGUCCUACGGGAGAAAGCAGGGGACCUUCGGGCCUUGCGCUAAUAGAUGAGCCUAAGUCGGAUUAGCUAGUUGGUGGGGUAAAGGCCUACCAAGGCGACGAUCUGUAGCGGGUCUGAGAGGAUGAUCCGCCACACUGGGACUGAGACGCGGCCCAGACUCCUACGGGAGGCAGCAGUGGGGAAUAUUGGACAAUGGGGGGAACCCUGAUCCAGCCAUGCCGCGUGUGUGAAGAAGGCCUUUUGGUUGUAAGGCACUUUAAGCGAGGAGGAGGCUACUGAGACUAAUACUCUUGGAUAGUGGACGUUACUCGCAGAAUAAGCACCGGCUAACUCUGUGCCAGCAGCCGCGGUAACAC